AUAUUUAGUCUAAUGAAGAGCUCAAGAAUCUCUCUAUAGAGCUUGUUAAUUGAUGAAAUAGUUUGUUAAUCUCUCUCUAUAGAGCUCAAGAAUGGAGUAAAUAGUUUGUUAAUUGAUGCUUCUGAGGGUGAUGAUGCAUUGAAGGCUUCAAAACACACAAAAAGGUCUGAGAACCAGAAUGGAAAUCAGCCGAUUAGAUCAAGACAACCAACAAUUAGUGGCCAUAGGGUCAGGGAUGCGGAUGCCACAAUUCCUGCCAGAAGAGAUUCCUCCUGUUAGGCUACCACUAAGAUUGUAAAGGAGGCAAAGGAUCUUAAACACUCUGCUGAUCGCCUUAAGAAUUCUGGAUUAAUUGUUGAAAGUACAGGUCUUUACUUCCAGGCAGCCCUUAAGUUUCUUCAUGGAGCCUCUUUAUUGGAAUCUAGCAAUGGCGAGAGUGCCAAGCAAGGCGAGAUGAUUCGGUCAAUGCAAAUGUGUAGUAGCACAGCAAAACUCUGUGAGUUUUGUGCUCAUGACUAUGAGAAAUCCAAGGACAUUGCUGCUGCUGCUCUGGCCUACAAAUGCAUGGAGGUGGCAUAUAUGAGAGUAAUUUACUACUCGCAUACCAAUGCAAGCAGAGAUCGACAUGAGUUGCAGACAGCUUUGCAAAUAGUUCCUCCUGGAGGAAAGGCCGAUGAAUAAGUACUAUAAUUUCAUUUGAAAUCAUGACUUCCAUAAGAGAAACUGAAGCAACUGGAAAUAUCAGAGCAGGAAAUUUAUUGCGCUGGACGAAAAUCUUUUGUGGUAUCUUCUUUCUAGUACAAACGUGUGAAUCUCCCUCUUCCUCUGCCUCCGACGUUGAUAACUUAAACAACCCAACAACAUUAGACAAGGUUCCCUUAACCAAGGGUGUUAGCUCUCCUCAAGUUGCUGCAAACCAUGUUAUUGCUGCAUGAAACCGCCCCAGUUUGGUGCGGCUGCUCAACUUUCUACAGGAUGUAAAUUUUGCAAUGGAAGCCUCGAGGAAAUCUCAAAUUGCUUUUGCAGCUGCGAAUACAAUAAUGGAAAAGGCUGAGCAUAGAGAAGGUAUAACUUCUAUUAAAAGGGCUCAGCACAGAGAAGAUAUAAUUUCUGUUAAAAGGGCUCUUGAUUUCAGCUUCCAAGAUGUGGACAGAUUAUUAUGUUUGGUAUGGUUGGCAAUGGAAACAAUUAGUCGUUAACUCGUAGUUGAGAUUAUGUCAAACCAAGGAAUAGUUUUGUUUCUUUGGUUUUUUUCCUUCCAGUUUUCAAUUGUUUUCCUCCAGUUUUCAAUCAUUAAGGAAGAAAAGGAAAGAGGAUGACCUGGAUCUUUCUGCACGUAAUAUCUGUUAAGAAACAGGUGUUAGCAGUUCAGUGCCUUUGUAAAUCUGUAUCAUACCAAUCAAAUUUGUAGAAUUCACACCGCCUUAGUGAGUUUUCUUAUUUUUCUUUUUCAAAUGGUUAAUGAAAUUCAUAAUUACCUAUGUUGAACUCUUGGCCGGCUGUACUAAGUUAUGUACUCAUUUUGUUUCUCUCUUUGAUUUGGUGGCUAUCGAUAGAAAUACACAAAUUGUUCCAGUGCUUCA